rnacentral:lncRNA from 1 species
CAGUAGGAUCACUUGAACCCAGGAGGUUGAGGCUGCAGUGAGCCAUGAUUGCAGCACUGCACUACAGCCUCGGUGCCAGAGAGAGACCAUGUCUCCAAAAAAAAAAAAAAAGUGUGUGUGUGUUGCAUGUUGUGUUCAAGUGGCACUGUUCCUUUCUCUGUUCUCUGGGCUAAUAGUCAUCCACAGGCUGAACAGGGUGGAGUCAACACCGGGCAGGGUAAGUGACAUCAGGUAACAAACAGUGAAGGCAGGUUGGUGGGACCGCAGCGCUGCAGCAGAGAAAGAGAAGGCUGCUGCCCUUGUCUUGCAGCACUCCUCCUGUUUUCCUCAGACAGGAUCCCUUUAAAGUCGAAUUACGAGAGUGGGCACUCUGAAACACCGUGACUGUGCCCCUCGC